rnacentral:tRNA from 2 species
GGAAGGGUGACCGAGAGGCUGAUGGUGCACGCUUGGAAAGCGUGUGUACGGGUUAAACUGUACCAGGGGUUCAAAUCCCCUCCCUUCCG